GCCAGGCACGGUGGCUCAUGCCUGUAAUCCCAGCUAUUUGGGAGGCUGAGGUGGGUGGAUCACCUGAGGUCAGGGGUUGGAGACCAGCCUGGCCAACAUGGUGAAACCCCAUCUCUA
rnacentral:SRP_RNA from 2 species